GACGAACGCUGGCGGCGCGCCUAACACAUGCAAGUCGAACGGAGCUGCGAGAAGCUUGCUUUUCUUAGCUUAGUGGCGAACGGGUGAGUAACGCGUGAGUAACCUGCCCUGGAGUGGGGGACAACAGUUGGAAACGACUGCUAAUACCGCAUAAGCCCACGAUCCGGCAUCGGAUUGAGGGAAAAGGAUUUAUUCGCUUCAGGAUGGACUCGCGUCCAAUUAGCUAGUUGGUGAGGUAACGGCCCACCAAGGCGACGAUUGGUAGCCGGACGGAGAGGUUGGACGGCCACAUUGGCACUGAGACACGGCCCAGACUACUACGGGAGGCAGCAGUGGGGGAUAUAGCACAAUGGGGGAAAUCCUGAUGCAGCGACGCCGGGUAGAGGAAGAAGGUUGUCGGAUUGUAAACUCCUGUCGUAAGGGACGAUAAUGACGGUACCUAAAAAGAAAGCACCGGCUAACUACGUG
rnacentral:rRNA from 1 species